rnacentral:lncRNA from 1 species
GGCAUGGAUGGAGGUGCUGCUGUAGGGGCGGCGGGUGAAGGAGCGGUGCCACAUGAGGGCACUGCAGCUCCGGUAACGGGAACGGACAACCCCCGGUCCGGGCUGCGAGCAGCGGGGAAACGGGGGGUGGCUCUGCACGCUGACCCCAGGAACUCCAGCCCUACUGCUGUGUGCCCUUUGGGUGGAAAAAGAGAGAUUUUGGGGGUAUCCGGGGGUCCAAUGCAGCAAAUCCGACCAUCCCAAGCCACGGCUGAGGAAAUGAGAACUGAUUACUGGCAGCCAGAAUGCUUCCCAGCGCUGCAUCCCACCCAUCCCGGUGUGGGGCUGAUGGGAUUUGGGAUAACGCCGCACCCAAAUGUCCAUCGCUGCGCAACUGGAUGGCAUUGCAAGUGGAAGCUUCCCGCGUAUGCGUGCAUGCUGCUUUUGCAACUGGGCCGAGGGGUUUGGUGGGGGUGGAUUUGAUGGGCAGGGGAUGGAGCUGACAGCACCCCAAAACUGCUGCUUGCAAGUGAUGCUGAGCCCAUAGCAUGGGACGUUCCCCAAACCCAGAGCCCAGAAUCUGCACCAGAAAAGCAACAGGAGGCUCCAGAUAGGGCUGGAGGCGAGCUAAUCACAUCUCUCCGAUGAACGCCUUCCCUUGGCUGCCUUCAUUACAACCAUUACGCUCCGGCCGUAGCGUAGCAACCGCUAAUUGUCGGUUGCAUGCAAAAAAUCAUUCCCCAGAUCCAAUUCUUUGAUUGAGAUGUCAUUGCCUUCAUCUCAAAGCAGAGGAUGCUCCGGAGACGCUGAGGCGCCGGCUGCACUGCAGGCAAUGGGGGAUGUCCAUUGGGCUCUGCUUUGGAGCAGGGAACAGGAUUUCUCAGCAGCCACAGCAUUCCAUCACCAAGCAGCCCCGGUACAUAGAUAUUAUUCACUUAAGUGAUCAAUCACUGCCAACAAAUUACAGGAUACGGGGAAUGAAAUUAGCAAAAUGAGCGAUGGAUGUAAAAUUCAUUUGAAAUUCAAUUUAGGAGCAACAUUAGCUCUCAAUUAGUCUGCCCAACUGUUUGAGCAUCGUUUUGUCUAUCAGAUUUUUGUAUAAACGCAAUUAACCUUUGCUGUUAAAUUGUUGUUGAUUUCAUUGAUAUAAUUAUUAUGCAGCUCCUAAUAUUUGGCUCGGA